rnacentral:rRNA from 1 species
CCUACGGGAGGCAGCAGUGGGGAAUAUUGCACAAUGGGCGCAAGCCUGAUGCAGCCAUGCCGCGUGUAUGAAGAAGGCCUUCGGGUUGUAAAGUACUUUCAGUCGUGAGGAAGGUGUUAAGGUUAAUAACCUUAGCAAUUGACGUUAGCGACAGAAGAAGCACCGGCUAACUCCGUGCCAGAAGCCGCGGUAAUACGGAGGGUGCGAGCGUUAAUCGGAAUUACUGGGCGUAAAGGGCACGCAGGCGGUUAAUUUAGUUGGUUGUGAAAUCCCCGGGCUUAACCUUGGAAUGGCAUUCAAGACUGGUUAGCUAGAGUCGUGUAGAGGGGGGUAGAAUUCCAUGUGUGGCGGUGAAAUUCGUAGGGAUGUGGAGGAAUACCGGUGGCGAAGGCGGCCCCCUGGACAAAGACUGACGCUCAGGUGCUAGAGCGUGGGGAGCAAACAGAAUUAGAUACCCCGGUAGUC